GCGGGGGAGGGAAGGAAGGAAGGAGGGAAGGAGGGAGGGAAGGGGGGGUGGGAAGGAAAGUAAAAGUGUCUCUCCUGGGUUUUUCCCCCCUCCCCUCUUUUCUUUCCUCUCUUUUUUUCCUCCCCCCUUUUCUCUCUCUCUCUCUCUUUUCCUCUCCCCUCCUUUUUUCC
rnacentral:miRNA from 1 species